rnacentral:rRNA from 1 species
UACGAAGGGGGCAAGCGUUGUUCGGAAUUAUUGGGCGUAAAGAGCUCGUAGGCGGUUUGUCGCGUCUGCUGUGAAAACUCGGGGCUUAACCCCGGGCCUGCAGUGGGUACGGGCAGACUAGAGUGCGGUAGGGGGAGACUGGAAUUCCUGGUGUAGCGGUGAAAUGCGCAGAUAUCAGGAGGAACACCGGUGGCGAAGGCGGGUCUCUGGGCCGUAACUGACGCUGAGGAGCGAAAGCGUGGGGAGCGAACAGG